GUGCGCAAAGGAUGCUGAACGUGGUUGCUACGAACUGCUUAUGGUGACUGCUGUUUGUUGUUUUUUUUUUUGUUGAUGGCCACAUUGCAGUUGGGCUAGGGUUAGAUUUGGGUUUGGGUCAAUAUCUUGGGUUAAUGGGCUACUUGGGUUUGUUAUUGGACAAAAAUUGUAAAUGGUUUUGGGCUGCUGUAAUAUGGCCUGUUAUUUUAUUUGGUUUUUUAGCCAGGCCAAAAUUGGCCUAUUACAACUGCCCCUCUUUGCUCGUUAUCAUGUAAUGGGAACGAAGCAAAGACUUUAGAAAUGGCCAAUUUUGUCUGGUCAUGCUGGACUUCGAGACCCUCUUCUUCAAAUAGCUUCAUUCCAUCCUACUGCGCCUUAAGAGGUAUAGGAAUUGAUGCUUUGAUCCACUCCACUGCAACGUCAGGGAGAUAGGAUUUGUAUCUUGUAGCUUCUCAAAAGAACAAAAUUUGCUAUCCUUAGUCUACUCCACUGCAAUGUCAGGGAGAUAAGACUAAAUGCGAUCUACUCUCUGCAACCUCAGAAAGAUAAGAUCUAUAUGUUUUAAUCCACUCCAUUGCAACUUCAAGGAGAUAGGAUUAUUUACUUCAAUCUAUUUAACUGCAGUGUCAGGGAAACAAGAUUCGCCGCCGUGACUUCAAUCUAUUCCACUACACCGCCAGGGAAGUAAGAUCCGCCGUUGUGGCUUCAAUCUUUUAAAUUACAAUGCCGGAGAAACCAGAGCUGCCGUCGUGGCUUCAAUCUGCUCCACUACACCGCUAGGGAAGUAAGAUAUGCCGUUGUGGCUUCAAUCUUUUUAAUUGCAAUGUCGGGGAAACCAGAUCCGCCGUUAUGGCUUCAAUCUGUUCCACUACACCGCCAGGGAAGUAAGAUCCGCCGUUGUGGCUUCAAUCUUUUCCACUGUAAUGCUAAAGAGAUAGAAUUCGCUGCCCACAGCUUCAAUCCACUCCACUUUAGCUAAUCUAAGCCUUAACACCAGGGAGAUAAGAUCCGCCAUCGUGGCUUCAAUCUGCUCCGCUGUAAUGCCAGGAAAAUAAAAUCCACCGUUGUGGCUUCAGUCUUUUCCAUUGCAACGUCAUGGCGAUAGGACUGAUGUCUUCGAUCUACUUCGCUACCAGUACAGGAAGGCAAGAUUUGCCAUUUUCGACCUACUCCACUACUGCCCAGAGAGACAAGGCUGAUAUCUUCGAUCUGCUUCUCUGUCAGUACAGGAAGGCAAGAUCUGCUAUUUUCAACCUACUCCACUACUGCCUAGGGAGACAAGGUUGGUAUCUUCGAUCUGCUUCUCUGUCAGUACAGGAAUGCAAGAUCUACUAUUUUCAACCCGCUCCACUACUGCCCAAGGAGACAAGGCUGGUAUCUUUCAUCUGCUUCUCUAUCAGUACAGGAAGGCAAGAUCUGCUAUCUUCAGUCUGCUCUGCUGCAAACUCAGGAAGGCAAGGCUAAAGUUUCACCGGUUUGUCCUCUGAGGAACAUGACCUGUAUAAUUCAACUUAUGAACCUAAUUAUGCCUAGUGAUUAGGAUAUCAUGACCAGAAUGAAUCAAAUGCUCCUAACUAGACAUGUAUGAAUGACGUUUGAAUGAAUGCAGAAUGUCAUUUUUUCAAGAAUAAUCCCGCUUAGGCAGUCAUUACUCAAAGUUUAUUAAAGUCGUAUCACUGACGCACUACAACGUCCUCUUACUCGGCUAGCAUCUCCAAAAAACAUUCAAUCAAAUUGCCCCCCACUGUGAACUUCAAAGUUCAAUCUACUGGGAUGCAACAUUGGUAUCAUCUUUCUCCCGCUGUAACCCAAGGGUAGAAAAAAAUCUGACCUCUCAAUCUUCUCUUAUCGCAAGGUGAAGCACUUUGGUCCUUUAUACCGUUCUCAAGGUGUCAUACCAAAUGCCUAUGCACAAAUGAAGAAUUUCUUUCUCCAAGGAAACCUCUUCUUCUUGCAAGGUGAUCAUUGUUUGCUUGUUCAAUGAAGCUUUGUCUCCAACACCCCAUCCUGUCAUUUUGUUCGACCAAUGUUUUUAACUACAAAAUCCAAAGAGAAUGUUUUAAUUUAGACUCUUCCUUCUCAGAUUUCCAACCUUUAAACUUGGUGCGCUCUAAACAAUAAUCUUGUUUUAGGUUCCCAUAUUAUUUAGAAACUUCUAAAGUAAUAUGAAAAAUUUCCUUUAUAAAAGUAUUAUUAUCCCAUCUUCCCAAUGAAAAAUGCUUGAACAAGAUUAUCGAAAUGGACAAGAUGAAAUUAAUUGAAAAUAAAACUUAAGAUAAAUAGAUUAUAAAGAACAGUAAGAAUAAAAGAGAAAUGGAUUGGAAAGAUGAAUCUUGAAAAGGAAUAAAGUAUUCCAAGAUAUACAUACUAAGAAGACUAGGUGCCCCAGAUAUCGCAGUUUGAACUUGUCUGCGCAAACUUCCUGAAGACCACUCUGAAUCCGACAUGUGCUUAGAAGAUCUACAGUACUCUAUCGAUGCCCCAAGAUGUUGCAUCCCCUUUUCCAUUGAUUCAAUCAUUGCAAGAUCACCAAAUGCGUCACCUGAUCAGCAUUUGAGCCGCCCUUUUCCGGGUUUUCAACUCAAAUCCCCUUUGGUCUCAAAGUGUUAUUUACGGGUUUUCACAUUGGCCUCUCCUUUCCUCUUUUUUUUAAAAAAAAUAUUUCUUAACUGAAUCUGAAUUUACAGGGUUUGGCAAAUCUUUGCCAUCUAUCUCACUCAAAAUCAAAGCUCCCCCCGAAAAGGCUUUCUUUACAACAUAUGGACCUUCCCAAUUUGGCAUCCAUUUCCCUCUAAAAUCCUUUUGUAUAGGAAGGAUCUUCUUCAACACCAGUUCCCCCUCAUUAAAUUCUCUGGGAUGAACUUUUUUGUUGUAGGCCCGCAUCAUCCGCUUUUGAUACAUAUGACCAUGCCGAACAGCCUUUAGCCUUUUUCCUUCUAUUAAGUUCAAUUGAUCAUAACGAGAUUGAACCCAUUCUGCCUCAUCCAAUUUCAUCUCAGAUAAUACCCGAAGAGAAGGAAUUUCUAUCUCAAUAGGUAGAACUGCUUCUAUCCCAUAAACCAAAGAGAAAGGUGUUGCCCCAAUCGAAGUCCUGACAGACGUUCUAUAAGCAAAGAGAGCGAACGGUAAUUUCUCAUGCCAAUCUUUGUAAGUCUCGGUCAUCUUUCCCACAAUUUUCUUAAUAUUCUUAUUGGCUGCUUCUACUGCACCAUUCAUCUUUGGGAGGUAUGGCGAUGAGUUAUGAUGUCUGAUCCCGAAUUGACUGCAGACCUCUACUAUUGCACUAUUGUUCAAAUUCAACGCGUUAUCAGAUAUGAUCCUCUCAGGCAUUCCAUAUCGACAUAUGAUUUCCUUUUUCAAAAAUCUGCUAACUGCUGACUUAGUAACAUUUGCAUAUGAUGCAACUUCCACCCAUUUGGUAAAGUAGUCAAUAACCACAAAGAUGAAGUGAUACCCGUUAGAAGCCUUUGGCGAUAUUGGUCCAAUGACGUCCAUACCCCACAUAGAGAAAGGCCAUAGAGAAGUCAUAACAUGAAAAGGUGAAGGAGGUGCAUGCAUUUUAUCGCCAUAAAUUUGGCAUUUAUGGCACUUCUUAGCAUAGCUGAUGCAAUCCCUUUCCAAAGUAGACCAAUAAUACCCAAAUCUCAUAAUCUGCUGGCCAUUGUGAAACCAUUUGCAUGUGUUCCACAGAUACCCUCAUGGACUUCUUCUAGAAUUUUUCUAGCUUCCACUGCACCCACACAUCUUAGCAGUACUUGAUCCUUCCAUUUUUUGUACAGGAUUUCUCCAUCUAGAACAUAGUCAAUAGCUAAUCUUCUCCGUGCUCUCUUAUCAUUCUCCGUUGCCUGAUCUGGAUACUCAUGAUUCUUUAUAUAUCGCAAUACAUUCAAAUACCAAGGAUGGUCAUCCUUUUCCUCUUCCUCAACAUUAUAACAGUGAGCUGGGGUUUCAGAGAUACUCAUCUGAAUAGGCUUCAUAUCCUCUAACCUAUUCACUCGGAUCAUGGAGGCUAAAGUAGCCAACGCAUCAGCCAUCUGAUUCUCAUCUCAUGGAAGAUAACAAAAAGUAAUGUCAUCAAACUCGUCCAUCAAUUCGAGAACCAUCUUUCGAUAACUGAUCAGUUUAGAGUCCCUUGUCUCACAUUCUCCUUUGAGUUGAUAUAUCACCAGUGCAGAAUCCCCAUACACUUCUAACACUUUGAUUUUACGCUCGAUGGUUUCACGAAUGCCCAUAAUGCACGCUUCAUACUCUGCCAUAUUAUUCGUGCAAUCAAAAUCUAGUUUGCUAGCAAAAGGAUAAUGAUCUCCGCUUGGAGAUAUUACGACUGCCCCAAUUUCAUUAGCCACAGCAAUUGAGGCUCUAUCAAAAUUUAACUUCCACACCUGAUCCCUUUGGGGAUUUUCUUCAAUGGUUGCCACAUACAUCAAAUCCUCAUUUGGGAAAUCAAAGUUCAAAGGCUCAUAAUCCACCAAGGCUCUGCUAGCUAAAAAGUCAGCUAUUGCGCUCCCUUUCACAGCCUUCUGACUCACAUACACUAUGUCAAAUUCAGAAAGCAAGAUCUGCCACCUAGCCAUCCUCUCAUUCAAAGCAGUCGACUCUAUCAUAUACUUUAAGGGGUCUAACUUUGAAAUAAGCCAUGUCGUAUGAUACAACAUAUAUUACCGUAGUCUUCGAGUUGUCCAAACCAAAGCACAACACAACUUUUCAAUAGCCGAAUAUCUCGCUUCACAAUCAGUGAAUUUCUUACUGAGAUAGUAUAUUGCCCUUUCCUUUCUCCCUGUCUCAUCAUGUUGGCGUAACACGCACCCCAUGGAAUUGUCAAAUACUGUUAAAUACAGUAUUAAUGGCCUAUCCGGAUUAGGUGGUGAUAGCACUGGAGGAUUAGACAAAUAUUGUUUUAUUUUGUCAAAAGACUUCUGGCAUUCUUUAUCCCAUACACCCGGAUUAUGCUUCUUUAGAAGACGGAAUAUGGGAUCACAUUUCUCAGUUAGUUGUGAAAUAAACCGAGAAAUGUAUUUCAAUCUCUCUAAAAAACCCCGUACUUCCUUCUGAGUGUGUGGUGAAGGUAAAUCUCGUAUUGCCCUGACUUUGUCUAGAUCAACUUCAAUUCCUUUCCCACUGACUAUGAAGCCCAACAACUUCCCUGAUCUAGCCCUAAAGGUGCACUUUGUUGGAUUAAGCUUGAGCUGGAAAUUUCUUAGUCUCAAAAAUAAUUUCCGCAGAACUUGAACAUGCUCCUCUUCUGUUCUGGAUUUUGCAAUCAUAUCAUCAACAUAAACCUCAAUCUCCUUCUGUAUCAUGUCAUGAAACAAAGUUACCAUAGCUCUUUGAUAAGUUGGCCCCGCAUUCUUUAAUCCAAAAGGCAUCACUUUAUAACAGAACGUUCCCCACAAAGUGAUAAAUGUGGUCUUUCUCAUAUCUUCUGGAUUCAUCUUUAUUUGAUUGUAUCCAAAAAACCGUCCAUGAAAGAAAACAAUAAAUAGUCUGCAGUAUUAUCUACCAAAGUAUCAAUGUGAGGCAACAAAAAAUUAUCUUUUGGACUGGCCCCGUUUAAAUCCCUAUAAUCCACACACAUUCGCACAUUUCCAUCUUUCAUAGGGACAGGGACAACAUUAGCUACCCACUCUGAAUACUUAACUUCUUGUAAGAACCCAGCAUCAAACUGCUUUUUGACUUCUUCUUUUAUCUUUAGCACAAUGUCAGGCCUCAUUCUUUUGAGCUUCUGCUGAACUGACUUGCAAUCCUCCUUUAUGGGAAGAUAGUGCACCACAAUAUCAGUGCUUAACCUAGGCAUAUCUUGAUAUGACCAUGCAGAGACAUCUUUGAAUUCCCGGAGUAACUCAAUGAGGUCUUGUCUUGCCUUGGCAGAAGUGUCAGUUCUGAUCUUUACCUCUUUUCCCUCCUCUAGACUCAUAAUCUCCAAUGAUUCUUUACGAGGUAAGAUUUUCUUAUCCUCCUAUUCUACCAUUCUUAAUAAGUCCGGAGAUACAUUACAGUCUACGUCAUCUUCAAAAUUCUGUGAUCCCUCUAAACACCUGUCUUGUUCAAAAGGUGAUUUUGAGUCUGAAGCAACUUCACUCAUAUCAUUGAUAUCCGGAGACCUAUAAUAGGUGCCAAAGAAUAUACAAAGAAUAUAUAAAUUUAUGAAUAAAAUGUGAUUAUGAAAUGAAUAAAAGAAUGAUGUAGAAAAAGAAUAAAAGAAUAAUUACUCGAAAAAAGAAUAAAAGAAUACUAGCUCAAAAAUGCAUACGAAAAAGUGUAUUUAUUGAAAUUAUAAUAUUCAAGAUGUGCAUAAUCCAUAAAAAAAAUUAUAUUUUAAGUCAAAAUGACAAGGAUGUUCUGCAUAUUUACUCUGAACAAGCUCUAAAAACUAUAGGAAUCUCUUCGUAGUCCAAUUGUCCAGAUCACUUCCAAGCUCGUAAGGGCGAAUCUCUAGCAAAGUCUCUCUUUCAACUGUGUCUAGGGCAUUGAUGUGGGCAUCUCCCAGUAAUUCUUCAACACCUUUCACUUCAAGCACUCUUCGUUCUGGAUGAAUAAACCCUCCUGAUAUGAAAGUCUUAGAUAUGUGAGGAAAAGUCAUAGGCUCCCACCUAACUUCAUUUCCACUCAAGCGUGCCCUUCUUCUCUCCUGUCUUCUCUCAAUUUCCUUUCUUCUUUGUUUUACAUCUGGUCUAUAGCCCAGGCCAAAACGAUCAAAAUUUUCUUUCAUCACUGGUGCUUCAACUCCUCCUUGUAAAUAUCUUCCCAAUCCUUUUCCCGGUACAGCUCCUUUUCCCACCAUUAAUUGAAGGCACAUUCUUGUAGUCCUGGAUAUCAUCGGUACUGGAAUUUUAUUCCCCUCAGCAAUAAAUGUUGCAUUUACGAAUUUUAGAGAUCGAAAAGAGUAUUCCACCGCCUCCUCAUCGGUCUCCACGUAUGGUGCAUUGCUGGUUAUUGACGCAAUAAGACCUUCUUCAACAUUUAUUGUCACCAAUCGUCCAUCCGACACUAACUUUAACUUCUGAUGCAAUGAUGAAGGCACAGCCCCUGCCGAGUGUAUCCAAGGUCUCCCUAACAAGCAGUUAUAGGAAGGCUUGAUGUCUAUUACGAUGAAAUCCACUUCAUAAGUACUUGGGCCAAUCCGUAAUGGUAUCUCAAUUCUCCCCAUAACCUUUCUUUCUGUUCCAUCGAACGCCCUUACUACAUUUUGACAUGUUUUCAUAUGUGAGCUAUCCACAGGUAGCCUAUUGAGAGUAGAUAAGGGAAAUACAUUUAAUGCGGAUCCAUUAUCAACCAAAACUCUUGGUAGCAUAUAUCCUUUGUACUUAGCCGUAAUGUGCAGAGCUUUAGUAGAACCCAUACCACCAAACAAUAUUUCAUCAUCAUUGAAGAAGAUAAAAUUAUCAGCGCUUAUAUUAUUGACCAACCUAUCCAAUUUGCUAACAGAAAUAUCAUUGGCCACAUAUGUUUCGUUCAACACCUUCAUUAGGGCAUUUCGAUGUACCUCUGAAUUCAUGAGCAAAGCCAACACAGAUAUACGAGCUGGUUGCUUAUGCAGCUGCUCUACCACGUUAUACUCAUUGUGCUUCAAAAAUUUUAAGAAUUCAGUAGCUUCUUCUUCCUUUAUUGGCUCAUUAAUCAAUGACAUUAAUUCAAACAUAUUCUCUUCCUUUUGCUCUGCUGCAAGGACCUUUCCCUCUACCAAUUCUACUUGAGCAUUUAUCCGACUACAGGACUCCUCAGUAUUCGUAUAAGAACCUGUCUUUUGGUUUUUUUCACAACACUAAUUGAAGUUUCCUUCCCCGAAACUGUUACCUCGCACUCAUAAUUCCAAGAGACCUUCUUGCUAUCCUUAUACGAAAACUUCGUCGGUUUUUGGAUGAAAAUCUUCAGUGUCACCUGUGCCCUAACUUUAGUAACCUUAGGGCGUAAAAUGAUAAUCACAGGAUGAUUAACCUUUGGAAUCCUCGUCUCUGACUCGAUGCGCAUAUACUUUCUUUUCCUUCCACCUCUUCAAAAAACUCUAUUUCUCUAUUAUCCAUCAUGCUCUGGAUCAGAGCUCUAAACUUCUCACAUCUUUGAAUUUCAUGUCCCACCUCAUGAUGGAACUCACAAUAAUUUUGGGUCUUGCCACCCCCUACUAAAUCUGAAACAAUUAACCCUUUUCCUACUAUUUCUUUCCAAACCCUCCUCAAAGGGAUCUUUACCUCAGUAAUAUUCUCCUUGACCUUCUUCCCCAUACCUUCACCCACCAUGUUUACCCUAGCAUCAGUAUGAUUGGGUAAUGGAUUUUUCGUACCUGAUGAAUCAUCUACCUUAACAACGCCCAUCUUAAUAAGCUUCUCAACAAGCCUUUUAAAAGCAGUACAAUGCUCUAUUGAGUGCCCCACAACUCCUGCAUGGUAAUCGCAUUGUGCAUUCGCAUCAUAACAUUUAGAAUAUGGAGACUGUAAAAGAGUCAAAUAAAAUGAGGCAACAACGUACGCGUUAAAUAAAUUCUGAUACAACUCUUUGUAAGACAUAGGGAUGGGUAUGAACUGGGGCCUCUCAGUAUUUAGCCUCACACCAGAUUCCUGUUUUGAUGAACCCUGUUGACCUGCUACUACCUUCCUGGGCUGAUUCACCAUAAUUGACUUGUUGUAUGUAUUCACGUUGUUCACCUCACUUUCUUUUUUCUUUGAGUUUUGCCUUCUGUUGUUCUCUCCAACAUCAAUCUUCUCGCUCUUUAUAGCACUUUCAAUCAUCUCACCACUCAUUACUAUGUCAGUAAAAUUUUUCGUGGCACUGCCUAACAUGUGUGUGAUGAAGGGGGCCUUCAGUGUAUUUACAAAGAGCAUCGUCAUUUCUCUUUCAAGGAGCAGUGGUUGGACCUGUACUACCACCCCCCUCCACCUCUGAGCGUACUGUCUAAAACCUUCAUUUGACUUUUUCUCCAUGUUCUGCAAGAUAAUCCUAUCAGGAACCAUUUCCGCCACAUGACUGUACUGUUUCAUAAAAGCCUGUGCUAAAUCCCUCCAAGAGCUAAUCCUAGCACGGCUUAAAUGAUUAUACCAUUUAGACGCUGCCCCCGUGAGGCUAUCUUGAAAACAGUGUAUCAAUAACUGGUCAUUAUUGACAUACCCAGUCAUUCGCCUACAAAACAUAGUAAUGUGGGCUUCAAGGCAAGUGGUCCCAUUAUACUUCUCGAAAUUCGACAUUUUAAACUUGUAAGGAAGCACUAAAUUUGGUACCAAACUUAAAUCUUUAGCAUCAAUCCCAUGACAUCUUUCAGUAGUUUCCAUUGCUUUGAAUUUCUCCUCAAUCCACUUCCAUCUUUCUUCCAAUUGCUUUGGUAAUUCCUCUUUUGUUUUCUCUUUUCCAACUACUUCAUCAAAAUCAGGAACAAUAGGAUUGGCAGGAUUAUUCUCAGGACUAGAGCCUGAUCCGGCCUGGAAAUUCAUCGACCUUGAAGCAUCGGCCUGAAAUUGCUAAGGCCUAAUCGUAAUAGAAGAUUUGCAUGGGUAAACCUCAACUUGAGGCUACGCAUGUGGAGGGGUAAAGCUUGGAGGAUACAAGAGUCCAUCAUCACCUUCCUCUUCAAUAUUGGCCAUAAGGCCUUUUCCUUUAUCCUUUCCUUCCGUCAACUACUGUGUUAACUUUGUCAUCAUACUUCCUUAAGAUUCCAUCAUUUUCUGCUGAAUCUUCUCGAGCUGCUCCUGCAUUUGCUGCCGAAUUUGAUCCUGCAUUUCUUUUUGGAAUUGCUCAAGCUUUUCUAAUCUUUGAUCCAUACUUCUUGAUUUCACUCGUGUACCGUAACGAUGCUGAGUUGGCUCAUUAGAUACCAGGUUAACUGAGGAAUGAUUUUGAUUAAUCAGAACCCUUUGAUAAUUUUUAAUGCAUGUAAUGCGAUGUACGAAAAUGAAUGCAGAAAAGGCGUUAAUUAUAAUUUUAAUUACUUUCAGAAAAACUUUAUCAGAAAAUAAAUCUCUUUACAUAGAUUGGGCUACAAAUAUGGCUUUGCCCUAAUACUUAAGACCUUGAUCUCUUUAAGCAACGAUGCUAACUCUUGUCCUCGAUCUGACUCUAGCUCGUACUUUACGCUCAACGUGUCAGCUUGUACUGCUAAAGUUUGCAAGUGGUCUGCCACUUCUCGAAUUUGUACCACAGCUUCUUCCAUAACGUGAUCCCUAUUUCUGACUUGAUCCUGGAAAUAAUGAAGUUGCUCAUUCUGGCGACCUUCCUUUGCCUCUAGAUGCUCGAUCCGAACCUCACAACUUCGUAAUGCAGCUUCUAACUUUUCUAUUUUACCCUUCAUUUCUUCGAUCUUGCUCAGACUUGCUUUCAGCUCUAUUACAGAAUUUCGACUUCUAUGUUGACGGAGAGACCCUUCUAACUCAACUACUCUGACUUUUAGUUCUCCUUUUUCCUUUUGGCUCUCCGACAAGCUUCUUUCUAAUGCUUCAUUUCGUGCUUGCAUUUCUUGAAAUUUUAUUUCCCACCAGUCUGACUUGUUUCUUUCUUCUCGAACCUCUUCACGCCACUACUCUAAAGUUUUUCCAAGCCCAGCAGUUCUUAUUGACUGACACAGCUUCUUGUAAUUUAUCUUCAAGCUAUCUAGCUCAUCCUCGGCCUUAUUCUUCCCCUUCCUUAAUUUAUCAGCCUCGAGCUUUUGAACAUCUACAUCCAAUCUCAAACCCACUUUUUUCUUAUCCAUUUACUCUAUUUUCUUCUCUAAUUCCGCACUUUUUCUUUCAAAAUCCUACUUUAUAAUUUCCAGCUCAGUAGGAACAACCCGCAAAUUUUCUUCUAUUGACUGACUAUUUUCUAAACUCGGCGUAGGAAUGUUAUUGUUGAUUCUCUUAACCCUCCAUUCGCUAUACUCGGGAAUUGUCAUUGGACCCACAACUAAUCUCUUCAUUCGGCGAGUCUGAUUCCAUGCAUUGCCAUCUCACGAACCUUCUUCUUGUAGCCAUCAUCCUUAUACGAGAAUUCACACUCGGCCAAUCCCUAAGUUGCAGGCACAAACUGUCUUGACCUGUAUUGCCUUAACACUAGCAAUCGGGCAUAACCAACAACUCCCCAAAUUCCAAGCAAAGGAACCCAAUCAAAAUCCCCACACCGAUAUAGGACUUCAUUUGGAAACAGCCACAGAGCUCUCCACUCGAUAUCUUCUUCUUGAAAAUUCUGAAAAAUUGACAUCCAUUUCUCCUCCGAGAUGUUAUCCUUCCUUGGUGUAGCCACUAUCUCUUUCAAUGGUGAAUAACUUUCAGAGAAAACCCGAUAUGAAACAUUAUCAACCUUCCAAAAGUGACUGUGGAACCAUGCAAGUAGGAGCUGCGCGCAUCCAAUGAAUCUACCCUCUCCUACCCUCCGGCAUGCAUUCAGUGACCUGAAAGUUUCUGCCAAAAUUACCGGGACUGGUGAAACUCUCUUAUCAAGCCGAUCGAAUAAGUCAGUAACCGCCUCAUCAACAUGCCCCAAAGUCUUAGGGAACACAACCAAACCAUAUAUACUUAAAGCAAGGACAUCUACCCUCUUCCCCACAUCUGGGUGCGCUAAAAUGAGGUCCUUCAAAUCUUUCCAAGGAAUGCACUUGCUAUCCCCCUUUUGCUUGAUCCGAGCCGUAACCCACUGCUCACUCAUCCCCGUUAUAUUCAUCAACUUCCUCAAGAAGGUCGGUACAUUUACCGCUUUCGAAUAGAUUCUGUCUACUUGAACCCUCGAACACCGAAGUAAAGCCGUGUACUCCUCUAUUGUAGGCACCAAAUCAACCUUUCCGAACAUGAAGCAACUGUAGGCCGAAUUCCAAAACUGGGCAAGAGCUCGAAACAGACGCUUAUCUACCUUCAUAUCGAGUAAAUAAGGCAAAUCCCCAUAAUUUGAAUAGAACAACUGUUUAACCUCAUUAUUCCGCUGAUCCCAAAUCUCCUUCAACUCUUGUAAGUUGUUCUAAGCUACGCUAACACGAGUGAAGUUCCAUAAUUCUGAUACGUGUCCCUCAACCAAACUAUCACCUUUUUCGCGCUGAGUCAUCUCAGCCCAAGUUCGGACAGCCGUAUUAUCCUCUACUCUAUCAAGAACCCAUCUCCCAUGAUAAAACUUUCUAUCUAGCAACCGAAAAUGAACCAACGCUUUUUGUAAUGAAAUGCCAUGUAAUUGUAAUGCCAUGCAAUUAGAACAAAACACAAAAAGUCAGUAUCAGAUAAAAACAAAUCGAAAGCAAUAAAAUACCUACUCGGGUGACUACUAGGGGUAUAGUUCUACCUAGGGUAGGUUUCAAAAGUUCACUAUAUGAGGUUUUGACUUCUAGGGUAAAGGUACCCGAACCAGCAGAUUCCUCGAUCCUCACCUAUUAUAGGCUCAUAUGGACCGAGUUCGGUUCAGGGGAAUACAUUUCCCUAUGGCUGCACGGAGAUGAAAAUCUCACGAAGACAUAGGUACGGAUGUAUCCCGAAAGCGAUCCACUAUUCUGCACGGAGGUGAAAACCUCACGAAGGACUAGCUUUUCACUCCCACUUAGAGGGGUAAAAUUGACCAACCAAUGCAAUGCAAAAUGCAAAUAAACCAACAGAAUUAAACCAACCAAACAAGCAUAUGAUAAUUAAAACUAAUGAAUGCAAAGGGAAAAUCAGGUUUUAAAACAACUUUGAAUUUUUGACAAAAAAGACAGAAGAUAAUCAAUUCAUGGCUCGACUCUCAGAAGUCCCCAGUGGAGUCGUCAAGCUGUCGAAACCAUUUUUUUGAAAACAAAAAUUGAUUGUCGACUUUUAAAAAAAACAAAAAUUGGAGUCGCCACCAAUCCUUGAUUGAGGUGUGAUCAGCUCACCUUAAAAACGAUUUUGGUCUGCGAAAUUUAAGAAAACAGGUUCGGGAGUCAGUUACGCACGAGGAAGGGUUAGCACCCUCGUAACGCCCAAAAAUCGGUACCAAAUUGAUUAUUUAAUGUCUUGGUGUCGAAAAUUUGAAAAGAUUUUAAAUAAAAAUUUUUAACUCGUGGAUGGAUUAAAAUGAUAAAACAUUCUUAUUUCAAAGAAAUAAAACACCACACCUAGUAAGUUAGGGCACAAUAUUUUAAAUCUUCAAAAUACCAAAUAUUGCAUUUUGUUUUUUCUUAUUUCGAGAUAAUAAAAUGUCACGACCAGUAAGUUAGGACACGACAUUUUUGGAUUCCCGAGAAUAAGCUUUUAUAUGAAAUUUUUGUGAAUUUAUUACAAAAUAAAUACUUGAUUUUCUAAAUUCAUCGAAAAAUAAUCACAAUCUAGUAAGUUAGGACACGAUCUUUCUCGAGAACCAAGAUUGCCAAAUAUUUAAAAUUAAAAAAAAAACAAUUCUAAUACUUUGACGAAGCCAAAAUAUAUUUUUCUUUAAAAGUAUGAUAAAAUGUUAAUGCAUAACAUGAAAUUAUUACCUUAAUUUAAAUUAUACAUAUAUAUGUAUUUACAAAAUAUAAUAUAUAAGUAAAUUUAAAAAAAAUGUAUAUGCAUAUAUUAAACAUGUAUAUAAAAGUUAUGAAAAUAAAGUGUAAAAUAUGUAUAGGUAUAUAUAUAUAAAAGUAAAAUGAAUUAUGAAAAAUGCGUAUAUAUAUAUGUAUAUGCAGGAAAAAUGCGGAAAAUAUAUUUAAUAAUUUUGAAGAGUGUAUGGAAAAAAAUAUGAAAGACAAUAUGAAAAUCAUAAAAUAUAAGUAUAUGUAUGUAUACAUAUAAAACUAAGAGAAAUAAAGUGAUAAUAAUAAAAUAUAUAAGACAUGUAUAUAUAUUUUAAAACCAUUUAAAAUAUGUACAUAUAUCUAUUAACAUACAUAUGCGUAUAUACAUAUAGGUAUAAUAAUAUUAAUAUUUAAUAAAAUAUUAAAUAAUACUAAUAAUAAUACAGUAAUAAUAACAAUGUAACAGUAUUUUAAAAAAAAAAACUUAAAAUGACAAAUGAAGGAUUAAUUUAAACUUUAAUUUAAAAAAGGGGUAAAUUUGAAAAAUAAUAAAAUACGAACGGACCGAUUAGAACACACAAUUAACAGUGGAGGACCAAAAGAGAGAUUUACCCAAAAUUCCAAAACACUGCACAGCAACGAGGACCGAAUUGAAACAAUAUUUAAAUAUGCAGUAAAAUUUAAAAGAAAUAAUAAAUUUAAUUUAAACAACCCCAAAAAGCAAAGGACCAAUCGCACAAAUGGCCCCUUUUGAACCCAUAUAAAAUCCCAUUUCAAAACCCUUUCUCUGCCAUUUUUGUAUUUGCCGCAGCCUCCCUUUCCCACUGCCGCUCUGCAUUCCUCUCAUUCCAACGACGGAAUGAAGAUCCCUCAACGCCGGAUGCGACGGUAAGUCCUCCUCUACUCCCCUUUUCCGCUUUUAUUUUAAGAAACAAGAUAGAAAAUAAAAAAGGAAAAACAAAUAAAAAGAAAAAAAAUGAACAGAACAAUUACCUUAAAAAAUUUGCCUUUUUGAUUCCUUAUUUUCGUAUUUUCUUUAUUGUUUUUUUCAUACAAUAUUGCUAACCCCAUUUACAGAAAACAAAUGGCUUUUUAUAGCCAAAUAUUUACAGCCAAAAUAAUAAUUUUUUACAAUUUUUUGCUAUAUUUCCCGUUAUCUCUACUUGUUCGUGGCUCGUUGCAGGUUCCACUGGGGAGAAAUCGUGCGCAAAGGCUGCUGAACGUGGUUGCUACGAACUGCUUAUGGUGACUGCUGUUUGUUUUUUUUUUUUUGUGUUGAUGGCCACAUUGCAGUUGGGCUAGGGUUAGAUUUGGGUUUGGGUCAACAUCUUGGGUUAAUGGGCUACUUGGGUUUGUUAUUGGACAAAAAUUGUAAAUGGUUUUGGGCUGCUGUAAUAUGGCCUGUUAUUUUAUUUGGUUUUUUAGCCAGGCCCAAAUUGGCCUAUUACAAAGCUGUUUAAAAAUGAUUUCUCACUUUCACAAUAAAAAGUCAAUGAACAUAUAUCAUAACUUUAAUUAAAAUUGUAUUAAUUAAUUGAUAUUUUGGCCGCUAUCUAAUAAAUCAAACCACAUCAAUAAAAUUAUUUACUUGAUAUUAUUGUUAAUUUUAUUUUCAAAAUUACAUCUAUGAAAUCAAUCAAUCAUGGAAGUUGAAAUUUUGAAUUCCAUGUGCAUCCAUAAAUCCGAAAAUGAUUAAUUUCUAUGGAGCAUAAAACGGAUACGAGAUAAGAAACUAAAUCCUAUUAUCUUUAUCAGUCA
rnacentral:lncRNA from 1 species